rnacentral:rRNA from 1 species
UAGGCGUAAACAAAGGGAAGCGACCACGUGAGUGUAAGCGAAUCCCAAAAAUAAACGUCUCAGUUCGGAUUGUAGUCUGCAACUCGACUACAUGAAGCUGGAAUCGCUAGUAAUCGCGAAUCAGAAUGUCGCGGUGAAUACGUUCCCGGGUCUUGUACACACCGCCCGUCACGCCAUGGGAGUCAGUAACGCCCGAAGCCGGUGACCCAACCAAUUCAGGAGGGAGCCGUCGAAGGUGGGACCGAUAACUGGGGUGAAGUCGUAACAAGGUACC